rnacentral:rRNA from 1 species
CAGCCUGAGAAACGGCUACCACAUCCACGGAAGGCAGCAGGUGCGCAAAUUACCCAAUUCUGAUUCAGAGAGGUAGUGACAAGAAAUACCGAGAUGCGGCCAAUGGUUGCUAAUUCGGAAUGAGAACAAUUUAAACCCCUUAUCGAGUAUCAAUUGGAGGGCAAGUCUGGUGC